CCGCCACCUCUCUCGCAGCCCGCCAUCAUAGACACUUUUGCUUUCGCGACAGCCACAGGCAGCAACACAUCUCGUCCUCUCUUUCUCCCUUCUCUCUCCCCAAGACAGAC
rnacentral:ribozyme from 1 species